rnacentral:rRNA from 1 species
UACGUAGGUGGCAAGCGUUGUCCGGAAUCACUGGGCGUAAAGCGCGCGCAGGCGGCGAUCUACGUCUGGGGUGAAAGCCCGGAGCUCAACUCCGGGACUGCCUUGGAUACGGGAUCGCUUGAGGAUUGGAGAGGCAAGGGGAAUUCCACGUGUAGCGGUGAAAUGCGUAGAGAUGUGGAGGAACACCGAUGGCGAAGGCAGCCCCCUGGGUCAAGACUGACGCUCGAUGCACGAAAGCGUGGGGAGCAAACAGG